rnacentral:rRNA from 2 species
AUACAUGCAAGUCGAGCGAACUGAUUAGAAGCUUGCUUCUAAGACGUUAGCGGCGGACGGGUGAGUAACACGUGGGCAACCUGCCUGUAAGACUGGGAUAACUUCGGGAAACCGAAGCUAAUACCGGAUAGGAUCUUCUCCUUCAUGGGAGAUGAUUGAAAGAUGGUUUCGGCUAUCACUUACAGAUGGGCCCGCGGUGCAUUAGCUAGUUGGUGAGGUAACGGCUCACCAAGGCAACGAUGCAUAGCCGACCUGAGAGGGUGAUCGGCCACACUGGGACUGAGACACGGCCCAGACUCCUACGGGAGGCAGCAGUAGGGAAUCUUCCGCAAUGGACGAAAGUCUGACGGAGCAACGCCGCGUGAGUGAUGAAGGCUUUCGGGUCGUAAAACUCUGUUGUUAGGGAAGAACAAGUACGAGAGUAACUGCUCGUACCUUGACGGUACCUAACCAGAAAGCCACGGCUAACUACGUGCCAGCAGCCGCGGUAAUACGUAGGUGGCAAGCGUUAUCCGGAAUUAUUGGGCGUAAAGCGCGCGCAGGCGGUUUCUUAAGUCUGAUGUGAAAGCCCACGGCUCAACCGUGGAGGGUCAUUGGAAACUGGGGAACUUGAGUGCAGAAGAGAAAAGCGGAAUUCCACGUGUAGCGGUGAAAUGCGUAGAGAUGUGGAGGAACACCAGUGGCGAAGGCGGCUUUUUGGUCUGUAACUGACGCUGAGGCGCGAAAGCGUGGGGAGCAAACAGGAUUAGA